rnacentral:tRNA from 1 species
GGGCCGUUAGCUUCAAUUGGAUAGAGCGUUGCGCUUCGGACGCAGAGGUUACAGAUUCGAAUUCUGUACGGCCCUCCA